GGAUAGCUCAGUCGGUAGAGCCUGAGAUUCUUAAUCUCAGGGUUGUGGGUCGAGCCCCAUGUUGGGCA